GUGGAGGUUGGGUGAUUGGGAAAUCUGCUAAAACAUUUCAAAGUCCGCAGCUGCUGUGCACUGAGCAGUCGUACCGUCGUUAACUCGGCAUGUCAUCUCCGGAAAGACUGAGGGUGGAAAGAUUAGUCUCGGCUUAUCGCUUGUUGGCCAGUUUAAAACUACAGCCUCGCCGUUAAUCGUUUAUAUUAAUCAGUGGGAAUGAUCAUCUAUAAAAUCUCAACUGAACUAGCGGGAUAAGUACAAGACCUUUGCUUCCUCACACUCAGCUCGGAUUGGAUAUUUUGAGAUUCCCCCAUGUCUAUUCUUUUUGCGAUAACAGGUCUACGACUCAGUUAACAGCGAAAACUGUGAGACUAAACAUCCCAAAGAGUUCCUUUUCAGUUCUUAAAAAUAUGAGCUUUUUUUUCUUGUUCAACCCUUUCCGGUAACCUCGAAUAGUCAGGCUAUCAACAAGGAUUUUCUUCGAGGUCUGGACCUGGAUUUUCUUUUAAAAUAUAGAAAUCUGAAGCUCAAGGUCGUCAUUGGAGAGUUUUCACAAAAAAAAGUCAGCUUAAGCGAUGGGGGAAUCCCAUCACCAGCAGGUUCCCUCGAUCUGAAUAAAUCUCUUCUCAAUUAAUCGAAACAGUUAAAUGAGCAUUUUAAAUUGGCGGCUACCUAAGGUACGCCCUGCUCUAUAUUGGUAAGAAGUGCAAUUGGAUUACCCAAGUGAACGUGUUACAUAGUCCACUGUAAUUUUUACCACGCAUGCAUAUUAUAUACAAAGUAAAGUCAUCCAUCUGAGAGGCCCUAUAAGACUUCAGAGCAGUAAUUUCUGUAAUGUCGUUGAUCCACCUCCACGAAAUAUGUAUAUUCAUGGGAAUGCUCACCUUUCACAUUGAAAAGUUGGAUGAAAUUAGACAAGGUGCUUUAUUUUAAACGCGGGCCUUAACUGUGAAAUUAACAAGUGGAAGUCUCACGCCGCUCAUAAUUUGUUCAAGUUUGUUUCUUUUACAACAGAAUGUUGCUUCGAUUAAAAUGAUGCAGUGCCUUGGUUGGAGUUACAGAGCGGUGCAGUUUUUAAUUCAGUACAAUGAUUUUGUUUUUUUUAAAGUCAAUAGUUGUCCUGACGACCUGUGAGUUGGGAGGACUUGGAAAAGAAUCAUUAAAGAUGAAUGAGAGAAAUCGCGUUUAUAACUGUGAUGAUUCUUGUCCCCAUCCUGCCUGUUCAAAACUAAAAGGCUAAAAUAAGUUAGGAAUCACUUCCCUACGAGCGAGGUUUGCCGAUUUUUUUUAAAAAUGUAGGUGAUUAGAUUACGACGCUUUCUCCAAAUCGUACAUAAACCUUUCUUUGUGUGUGAAUGGCUGAAGAGGGCUUAUUUUAGCAUUAUUUAAGUGACAAUGACUCAAUAUCACUUCAGUUGCCUUGGGGUUAUUUGCAAUAGACUUGUUAAAAAUAAGUUUAAAAACCAAAACGGUCGCUUGAGCUCAGUAUUUGUGCUUAAUACGUAAUCUGCAUUUAGACUCCAUAUGGAUGUAAUGUAGAUUUCCUAUUUAAAUACGAGAUAAAUAGGAUCCGAUAGAAAUCCGAUAGAAAGCGAGAGCACUGGUAAAGACUGAAAGUGGACAGUGUGACCUCGUAGCAGUUUAAUGGUAUCAGUGUCAAACUCCUCCGAAGGGAACAGCUGCAGGAAGGCGGACGCCGUGCCGUCAGUUAAACGCGGAUUGUCUGAACCUUUCGGGUUUGUCCUGGGUUAGCCCUGAGAUUCUCUGUUACAUAGAGUUCAAUAAAAUAUCGAGCAAACUGGGAUGGGGAGAUCAUUUGAGAAUCAAUGAUCACGGAAGGUUGGUAACACCGCGGGGAUCUGUGAGCAUGCACUGCAGUUGGCCAAUGAUGUGAUUCUUGACCAUUAGACGUCCCCAAGGGGAUCGUUUUGAGAAACUCUCUCAUCCUUCUCAUUGAGCGGAUCAACUCAGACAAUGUGGCGCAUUGGUGAUUUGUUCUUGCCAUAUUUCCCUAAGUACUCACAAAUAUCAAAAAUUCGAGUGAUACAGAAUUCCGAGCGUUAAUAUGCCCUUGUUAAUUAUAUAGAUUUUUUAAAGAACGCAUGAAAUGCAGGAAUUUCACGAUUGAAAUGCAACAAUGAAAUGCAGGGAUUUUCGCACAGAGCAGCCAUAUGUAUCUUUUUCGGUUUCGACUUACAAGUUUUGUGCUUUGGAAAGCUUGUUCGCUUUCUUUUGUAUAACAUAUAUCUAUUUCUGACGAUUGGCCACUGAAGGUUUGCACUGGCCCCUUCUUCCAAUGCACCCUCUGACAAAGAGAGCUUGCAAGGUCAUGUGACCCCGUGGCAGGGCACAGUGGGAACUGAGACAGAGGGUCCCAAGUCCCUUGCCAGCCGAGAUUCGCUGGACACUGAGGGAUCUUGGGAUUUGUAGUCUGUCAAAUGAAAGCGGACGUCAUUGGCAGCCACAAGAAUUUGACACACUAACUUAUUAGCAGUCAUUGGAGUGAAAAGCGGGGCGGAUUCGAUGCCACAUUUACAGGAUAAAUAGCAGGCCUGGGGAGGUUUUCUUAAAAUUGGUGACUUAAUUAUGAAACAAAAGUGACAUUCCGAGAUAAUAUCGCCAGGAAACAAAACAUGAAAGCAGCUCGUUCUCACAAUUAAACGUGCGAUAUGAUUUAAAUUGACCGUAUUUUAAUUGAACGAUUUCCCCGCAGACACCUGGAAGCUCUCUGCUAUACAUCUCUAAGGAUUGGCAUCAAUCGGUGAAGAUCUACUGAGCAUGGAUUUGUCUUUUAAUCGUCAGAGAUCCACUGGUAACGAUCCGCUGCUGGUUUCAGACCCUGCAAUCUCUCAUCAGAUCCAUUCUAAUCCCUGCUCAUCGAUUUGUACGUUUUCACCUCAUUCUGCACUGAAUCCCUUCAGCUCAAAGUCAAUCAGUCUUUCACAGUUCCCCCCGAAAUCUCAUUGCUGAUAAUCUACAAAUCGUGACCAACACUAAUCUGCUGGCAGUUUUUUCGAAGGCUUCCAAACAUUUACGCGUCCCCAAUGCAUGCAACCAGAGUAUUUAUUUCUGGACUGGACAUUUUUUUGAUUUUAUGGUGCAUUGAGAAUGUCACCGAUGUCACAAAUAGUAGCAUUCAAACACGCAUACAGUGAAUACAUGUACAAACUUAUCAGCAAAACCAACAAAAACUGAGCAUUGAGGCGGAACACUCGUUUGCAUAUUUAAGUGUGUGAAAAGUGUAUGUCGUUUUGAUAGAGAAUUAAUACCACGUUAGCAACUUUUUAAAAAUGUAGAAUUUUGCUUUUUGUGGAACAUUUUAAUCCUGUUAAACUGCUCAUCUUUAACUCGUUGUUUCCUUGGCCGGUGUACAACUAUUUUGUCAAGUUGGUUGCUAGGCCAGUCAUAUUUCCCAGCUACUGGACAGGUUAUUCUGCCCAGUUGUUGUACCAUUUAUUCUGCCCAGUUGUACCGGUUAUUCUGCCGAGUUGCUAUACCAGUUAUUUUGCCCAGUUGUUGGGCCGGUUAUUCUGCUCAAUUGCAAGGACAAUACAAAGCCGUGACUACACGUAAUUACUCAGCGACCUAGAUUAACACAUACGAAUCAGUCAAGUACUUAUUUUGGACUUCAGAAACUUUAAUUUGCGAAACUGCUAAACUCUAGCGUCAACCGGACUACAGAACUGAAAAUAGCUGAGAGCACCAUAUAUUCUGCAUCUUGAAACUACCCUUCGAAAGAUCAUCUGACGUUGAACCUGUUCGAGGUAGAGCGAUCUGGACUUGUGAACGAGGACUAUUCCUCUGCUCUGCCUUUGAGGUUGCUUUAUGACUUUGUGCUAAAGAGAUAGUCCGACCAACAGCCUUGUCACUCUGCCCGUUCAAUCGAGCUGCCGCAUUGGCAGAACAGAGGUACUGUUAGAGCUACCGUCAUUGCAAAGUGCAGUCCCCAUCAGGCAAGUGGUAACUGAAUGUUUAUGACCAACUCGACAAACCGCACUAUCCAAAUAUUGUUCAGAUGGCGCAAACCCAAUAGAUUGGUAACUAUGCAUGUUUUUAUUUAAUAAAUCAUGUGUUGUUUCUUGGCUUCCCCCCCCAUUCUCCAUCACAAUUUCAAACUGAAUUUAAAAUUAACCUGUCUCUUGAUGACAGAUUUAUAAAAACUGCUUUGUAGACGUGUUGCAAGUGACAUCUAUCGCCUUCUUAUAUACUCUAUAUAAUAAAAAAGAAUCAAUUUAACAUCUGCGAUUGACAAAUAGUCCUUUCAACGCAAACCAAGUUAUUACAGCCUAAACUUUGCAUUCAACAGCAGGGGGCAGCAAUGCGACCGAACACGGUUGUGGUCGUAUUCAAAACUGUAUUAGAACGAACAAUGGCUGAGGUGAGCGGGCUGCUGGUUGGUGAAUAACUGGUCUUUAAACGACGGAUCCUGAGAUUGAACCAAGCAUGGAUUGACGGGUCGGAAGUGCCGCUUAGGUGAGUAUGAACUUCCUUCUUGGAAUGAUUGUCAACAGAUUCAGGCUGAUUCUUAGUGUCUUCAAAACCAUAGCAAAUACUCUCCAUUGAUUGGGCCCCAAGUCGAAAAUCUCUCUGUAAGGGUAUGAAAGAUGGCGCCUUUGAUGACGAGGUGGUCAGACUGGUUUAAUAAUAACACGAACAUCCUUCAUUUGAUUAGAACCGAAAAAAAAGUCCGAAUGUGUCAGGAUCCUUCGCGUAAAACACACCACCUACUGUAUCAUAUUUUAGAGAUGUAAUGUUUUGACAAAACAUGUUGAAAAUAAAAAAAUGCUGAUGAGAAAAACAAUGCUAAUGUAUUGAUUUAACGUGAAAUGACUCAAACUAGUGUCUGUAUUGAUUUUUACUGGUCAUUUGCAGAUGAAUCGAAAGUAACUAGGUUACUGGUGAAUAUAUCAAAUGUUUGAGCACUGCU